CCUACGGGAGGCUGCAGUAGGGAAUAUUGCUCAAUGGGGGCAACCCUGAAGCAGCAAUGCCGCGUGGAGGAUGAAGGUUUUCGGAUUGUAAACUCCUUUUGUUAGAGAAGAUAAUGACGAUAUCUAAAGCAUAAGCACCGGCUAACACCGUGCCAGCAGCCCCGGUCAUACGGAGGGUGCGAGCGUUACGCGGAAUGACUGGGCGUAAAGAGCGCGUAGGCGGGCUAGCAAGUCAGAUGUGAAAUCCUAGGGCUUAACCAUAGAACUGCAUUUGAAACUGUUAUUCUAGAGUAUGGGAGAGGUAGGUGGAAUUCUUGGUGUAGGGGUAAAAUCCGUAGAGAUCAAGAGGAAUACUCAUUGCGAAGGCGACCUGCUAGAACAUAACUGACGCUGAUGCGCGAAAGCGUGGGGAGCAAACAGGAUUAGAUACCCUUGUAGUC
rnacentral:rRNA from 1 species